UACGUAGGGUGCAAGCGUUUGUCCGGAAUUAUUGGGCGUAAAGAGCUCGUAGGCGGGUUUGUUGCGUCGGCUGUGAAAUCCCGAGGCUCAACCUCGGGUCUGCAGUCGAUACGAGCAAACUAGAGUGUUGCAGGGGAGACUGGAAGUUCCGUGGUGAUAGCGGUGAAAUGCGCAGAUAUCAGGAGGAACACCGGUGGCGAAGGCGGGUCUCUGGGCAACACGU
rnacentral:rRNA from 1 species